rnacentral:lncRNA from 1 species
AGGAUGUGCUUAAGCGCUGCACAAGCCACAGAGAUACACACGAAGCUUCCCGUCCACGUCCUAACUUAGAGACCUAUUUCCAUCAUUAUUGCCGCGAUUUUUAUAUAGUUUUCGUGAAUGGAGAAAGCUGCCGUCGAAAUUUGGCGAGUUCAGGAUUGAAACGUUGAUUUCUGUUUCCAGUCAUUGCUGCAAAGUUUUGAGAACGGCACCCCUUGCUUCACAAUCAAACUAAUCACGUAACCUGCGGAAACGAAAAUGGGUGGCGCAAACUCAAUACCUGGACUGGAGACAUGGUACCCAAACGCCAAAGAAAAGGACUGUAAGUGUGCGAAAUGUGGCGUGACACUCCUCUGUGAGUUGGUAGCCUGCAUGGGGCAGCAAACGUAUGCAUUUAUGAAGCAGGCUGUGGGAAAAGAAACCAUCAAAAUUUCGAAGAAUGUUGGUGUGGGUUUCGGUCCGAAGGGACCGACAGGCAGCGCUUCGUCUGGGGGGGAGGUAGUCAUCGAAAAGGGCGAGUGGCUCAUCACUUACCUCCGUAGAUUAGAUUCCAAGCACAUGUGCACCGAUUGUUUCAGGAAAACCUUUCCAAAAGAGUUCGCGGGUAUUCUCCUUUCAUCUGUUGGAAAGGCCAAAGUGAUUAAUUCGCAGUACGAAUGGCUUAAAAUGAGCUACGGAACGACGAAGUGAUUUCUGAAUUCGUUUAUCUAUCAUGUUGCACGUAGGCAUACAUCCUUCUUUAAUUCCGAAUCAAGUUAGGUAAAACGUUGUCAUGUAAAGUAAACGAUUGUUGUUAUCAUGUGGGUUCAUGUUUAAUAUAGAUAAUGCAUUGACAACGUGAUGGCUAUUUUACAGCACACAACGAAAACAAACAUUCUGUAUCCCCUAGGACACCAUUUAAAUCCACAAGUGAAUCACUUUAUCAUCGUAAUUGUCUUUGGAAUGGGGUAAUUUUGGGUGUUCAGAGUCAUAAAUGGAUAUGCAAGAAUAAAGCGCUUUUCUAAUUUUGUUAUGCAAUGGGUUUUCGCUGUGGUUGUCUGGUUGAUAUAAGGUAAGAUAAGCAAGUACCGGAGGUUCCUUUUAAUUAUUUUAAUCCUUUAUCUUCUGAUUUGAAGGUUUUUGUAUUAAUUCAACACAACAUUUAUAAUCUUAAGGUUGCUCUAUCCGAGUUGGUUUUUUUAAUGAUAAUGACAUUAUAUAUACGGAUCAACCUGUUAAAUAUUUAUGAGUACAUGCAGGCGAAAAUAGGAAACUGUUACAAGAUUUAAACUUGAACGUAAGAAUAGAUAAAAUUCGAAAUUUAUUAAAUAUGUGUAAAAUUAUGAAAUCUUACGUUUUAAGGUAGAAUAAUGGUUUUUAAAAUGUUAGCGGCGUCACAAUUUGUGCAUACCGCAACUGAUGUUCCAGUACCAAAACACAUUUUACAUAUAUUGAAUAAACUAUUGUUUUGUUUCUUAUGGAAUUCCCAAGAAGAAGAAAAAUUAAACGUUAUGUAAUUAUAAAUGAUAUCGAAAAUGGUGAUUGAAUACGAUUUAUAUUGCUAGUAAAAUAUCUUCACUUCAUUUGUCAUGGAUAUCUGUAAUUGGAAAAAUAUGUUUAGAUACUGGUCAGAUAAAAUAGGGGAUUUGCCACUUUGUUUACAGUUCAAUUGUAAUAUAAAAGAUAUGAAUGUAUUAUGCUCUAAACAUAAUUUGCCAGAAUUGUAUGUAGACCUUUUUUGUACUUGGUCAGAACUAAGAUUCAUUGAUAUGUUUAAAGCAAGAAACAUUCCAAAUGAAAUUAUUUGGAAAAAAUAGUAACAUUAUCUUUACGAAAAAAAUAUUGUUUUAUCGAGAAUGGCAAGAUGCCGUCUUAUUGAAAAUUCAUUUAUUGAUUACAAAUGGUAUUUUGAAGGAUUCUUCAUUAAUUAAUAAAAAGUGAACGCACAACAGCUCCUAUUUGAUUUUAAAAUUUAAAGAAAGCAUUUCCGCAAUGUUUGUUAGAUAGAUUGAGUGAUGUCAAUGAUUUUUGAAGAUGAAUGUGAUAUUUCGAAUCUUAUAGAAAUAGAAACAGGGGAUAAAGUAAAUGUUUUUGUUUUGAAAGUGAAAGAUUACUAUCGCUUGUUAAUACGGAUGAAGUUUAAAAAAACAAUUGUCAUUUAUUUGUGGAAUUCCUUUCUAGAUUUAGGUGAUGACUUUGUUUGGAAGGAUGUAUUUUCAUUCAAAUUAAAGCAAAUUCGUAAUAAUAAAGUUAAACAGUUUAAUUUCAAGAUGAUUCACAGGUUUAUUGCCUCAAAGGAAAAUGUACAUGAGUGGCAAAAUGUGAAUAAUUAUUUAUGCAACACUUGUUGACAAUUUGAUUCACUUUAUGUUAUAUUGCAAGGAUGUGAUUAUUUUUUGGAAAAUGAUAUGUAAUUUGAUAUUUCACAUAUUCCACGUAGAAAUACAAAUAAACCAACAUAUAUCAGUUGUGUCUAAGGACAUAUAGGCCUAUAUUCUUCUGAAUAUUAUUUUUGAUUAUGCGCAAUAUGCAAUUUAGGAUUGUCAAUGGUUCUGUUUUUUACCCACAUGCUUUGCUUUUUCAAUACAAGUCGUUGCUAAGAUUGUUUUUAAGGUAAUAAGGAAUUAAUACUAAGCUGGAAGAAUUGUUGAAUAUACUUUAAUAUUUAGCCAAUGUUAUUUUUCACUCAAUCACUGAGUAAUUCAUGUAAAUUAUCAUGUAUUGAAAUUAUGGAAAUAAAGACCAUGCUUGAGGAUUCUAA